GGAACUUAUGGAAGGGUAAAUUAAUAUUACGGGGAAAAACCCUAAAUUGUAUACUUGCACCACGAUUGUAUGCUAUGACAUAUUCUUGAUUUUACCACAUAGUAUGUCACGUUGGAAACUGUGGACAUGGUCUACGAGUUGGUGAUCUCAAAACUCAAAUACUCUCUUCCCUUAAAGAUCUAUUUCACUUGAUGCUCAUUUUGCAACCCUCGCUCAUUUCUUUUGCUUUAUAGCCACUAUUGUCAAGAAGCCUAUUAUGUGAGAUGCGCGUUUUAAGAAAAAUAUUAAUAUACAUUGCAAAAAAUUCGAGACCUUCCAUCUACACCGUCGGGAGAUUAGCCAUCUCGCGACGCCAUACAUGUAGGUGUCAGGAAUGGGAAGAGAACUCUCGUCGCCAUGUAAUGGCAUCGGAAGAUCAUAGAAGAGCAUUCUUGAUGCACAACUAAUGGCGGCAAAAAUUUUGGGGAGAACUGGCGAUGCAUUACUUAAUGAGUCAACAAUUUUGAGAUAACUCCUAACGUCGCGUGCGGCUUCGGGAGUUUGUCUUUAAAUACCCUUCUUCGCAGAUCUCUUCCACAACCAUUUUGCGAAUUAAUUAGAAGAAAUAACGAAGGGAUAAAGAGAACGAAGGAAGUUCACCCACCAUUCUGCCACCACACCACUGUCGUCUUCAUCGCCUGCCCCGUCUCUUUCGAUGUUGCUGCCACCACUACCACUACUCAUAUCUCUUCUAGCUGUUCGAUGUUGUGGCAUACAAGAGGCCAGCACUACUGUCAUAUGUGUUCUACAAAAGCACUAUUUUUGGCUUGGGUCAUGAGUGUAGGAGUUACAAGAUGAUUUAGUUUGGUCUCUUGUGUUUUCUGAUGUUAAGCUUUAUAAUCGACCUUUAGUGUUUGGACUAAAACUUUUUGGUGAACUAAGUGUUAAUUGAUUUCUUAGUUUAUGUUUUCUUCAAAUGAAUGUUGUGGGUUAUAUAACAUUUUUCCAAAUUUAUAAAAAUGAUAAUAAUCAUUCACCGUUAAA